rnacentral:snoRNA from 1 species
AUGCAUCUCUGACAGAUCUGGAGUAGUUAAUAUCUGCUGCUAAUGUUUCCAUUAUAGAUGCAAGAAAAAGAAGGUCCUCACACUGUCUCUCUGGAUGUGGCAGCUAGGAUUGAAUGGGGGAAUAUAGGA